CUGGGAUAACUCCGGGAAACCGGGGCUAAUACCGGAUGGUUGUUUGAACCGCAUGGUUCAAACAUAAAAGGUGGCUUCGGCUACCACUUACAGAUGGACCCGCGGCGCAUUAGCUAGUUGGUGAGGUAACGGCUCACCAAGGCAACGAUGCGUAGCCGACCUGAGAGGGUGAUCGGCCACACUGGGACUGAGACACGGCCCAGACUCCUACGGGAGGCAGCAGUAGGGAAUCUUCCGCAAUGGACGAAAGUCUGACGGAGCAACGCCGCGUGAGUGAUGAAGGUUUUCGGAUCGUAAAGCUCUGUUGUUAGGGAAGAACAAGUACCGUUCGAAUAGGGCGGUACCUUGACGGUACCUAACCAGAAAGCCACGGCUAACUACGUGCCAGCAGCCGCGGUAAUACGUAGGUGGCAAGCGUUGUCCGGAAUUAUUGGGCGUAAAGGGGCUCGCAGGCGGUUUCUUAAGUCUGAUGUGAAAGCCCCCGGCUCAACCGGGGAGGGUCAUUGGAAACUGGGGAACUUGAGUGCAGAAGAGGAGAGUGGAAUUCCACGUGUAGCGGUGAAAUGCGUAGAGAUGUGGAGGAACACCAGUGGCGAA
rnacentral:rRNA from 1 species